rnacentral:tRNA from 1 species
GCCGGGGUACCCAAGCCUGGACAAAUAGGGGUCAGAGCCUCUAGGCUAGGGGGGAGGACUUAAGAUCCUCUGGCGUAGGCCGUCGUGGGUUCAAGUCCCACCCCCGGCACCA